rnacentral:lncRNA from 1 species
UGUGUUUGCAUUUGCUGUCCUUGUUCUUCUUUUUUUUUUGCAGGUGUUAUUGGAGUCAAUGGUGGUGCUGGGAAACACACCUUUGGUUUAGUUUUGGUGAGAUGGUGGCAGGCCUCGAACGAUGUUCAUACUGACAUGGCGAAGGCAUAGGAGCGGCGGCUGGAGUCUAGGGUUUAGUUUUCUGAAAAAUGUUUAAGUUGUUGGGCAAAUGGGACAUUAGGGUUUCUUUUUAUUUUGGGCCAUUUGUAAUUGGUCUUGGACUUAAUGGAUUCUAUUAUUUUUAUUUUUAUUUUUGGUUUGGUUUCUGUUUGGGUCGGGACUAAAUUGGGCCUCUACAGCUGCCCCUCUUUGCUCAUUAUCGUGUAACGGGAAUGGAGCAAAGACUUCAAGAAGGACUAAUUUUGUCUGAUUUUACCAAAUCUUGACUUAUUUAGUGCUUCUCUUUUUCAAUUAGCCUCAUUCUAACCCACUGCAACUUCAGAAGUAUAGGA